UAUUUAAUAGUUUAAUUAAAACAUUAUAUUUUCAUUAUAAAAAUAAAAAAAUUUUUUUUUUAAAUAA
rnacentral:tRNA from 1 species